rnacentral:rRNA from 1 species
CGUGUAGGCGGUUUGGUAAGUCUGAUGUGGAAGCCCCGGGCUCAACCCGGGAAGUGCAUUGGAAACUGUCAGACUUGAAUACGGGAGAGGGUAGUGGAAUUCCUGGUGUAGGAGUGAAAUCCGUAGAUAUCAGGAGGAACACCGGUGGCGAAGGCGGCUGCCUGGACCGAUAUUGACGCUGAGACGCGAAAGCGUGGGUAGCAAACAGGAUUAGAUACCCUGGUAGUCCAUGCCGUAAACGAUGAGUACUAGGUGUUGCGGGUAUUGACCCCUGCAGUGCCGCAGCUAACGCAUUAAGUACUCCGCCUGGGAAGUACGGUCGCAAGACUAAA